rnacentral:rRNA from 1 species
UACGUAGGGUGCAAGCGUUAAUCGGAAUUACUGGGCGUAAAGCGUGCGCAGGCGGUUGUGCAAGACAGAUGUGAAAUCCCCGGGCUCAACCUGGGAAUUGCAUUUGUGACUGCACGGCUAGAGUGUGUCAGAGGGGGGUGGAAUUCCACGUGUAGCAGUGAAAUGCGUAGAGAUGUGGAGGAAUACCGAUGGCGAAGGCAGCCCCCUGGGAUAACACUGACGCUCAUGCACGAAAGCGUGGGGAGCAAACAGG